rnacentral:rRNA from 1 species
AACGAACGCUGGCGGCAUGCCUAACACAUGCAAGUCGAACGAGACCUUCGGGUCUAGUGGCGCACGGGUGCGUAACGCGUGGGAACCUGCCCUUAGGUUCGGAAUAACUCCCCGAAAGGGGUGCUAAUACCGGAUAAUGUCUUCGGACCAAAGAUUCAUCGUCUUUGGAUGGGCCCGCGUUGGUUUAGCUAGUUGGUAGGGUAAAAGCCUACCAAGGCGAGGAUCCAUAGCGGGUCUCAGAGGCUGAUCAGCCACACUGGGGCUAGGACGCGGCCCAGACUCCUACGGGAGGCGGCAGUGGGGAAUAUUGGACAAUGGGCGGAAGCCUGAUCCAGCUAUGCCGCGUGAGUGAUGAAGGCCUUAGGGUUGUAAAGCUCUUUUACCCGGGAUGAUAAUGACGGUACCGGGAGAAUAAGCACCGGCUAACUCCGUG